UCUUGGAAAUGGCUAAGGUUUAUGUGCUUGGCUGUAGCAGCAGCCUGGUUCAAUUAGCCUGGCAGUUGUGAACAAUCAGCAUUCACUUUCAAACAACGAUCAUCCAUGGACAUGAACAAAACAUAUCCAGCAUAUGGCAAUGAACAUUAACAGCAAAACAACAUAAUCAUGGGAAUUCAAAACUGCAGCAAGGUUUUAAUCCGCAUGGCAUUCAGUAUUGUUUCUCAUGUAAUCUAUCAAAAUAACAUCAAAUGGACAGCAACAAACUAAUCAUGGCAUUGGCAGCAACAGCAACAUGGUUCAUCACCAAUCACACAUUCAUCAUUAUUUAUCAACCAAACCAAAUAAACAACAGCAUGGUAUUAUCUUCAUGGUAUCAACAAACAUUAAACAACAUGAUUCGACCACACCACCCAACAGCAUAGCCUUGACAAAUCAAUGAGGGUUUUAAAAAAAGGCAGCAUGGUUUUCAUGGUGAUGCUCACACAGCCAACAAACAACAGCAUUCAGCAUAAAUCAAAUGGUUUUUUGGGCAAUGGUCAGGUUUGAACAGCAGC
rnacentral:lncRNA from 1 species